rnacentral:rRNA from 1 species
UACGUAGGGCGCGAGCGUUGUCCGGAUUUAUUGGGCGUAAAGAGCUCGUAGGCGGCUUGUCGCGUCGAAUGUGAAAUCCCGAGGCUCAACUUCGGGCUUGCAUUCGAUACGGGCAGGCUAGAGUGCUGUAGGGGAGACUGGAAUUCCUGGUGUAGCGGUGAAAUGCGCAGAGUAUCAGGAGGAACACCGGUGGCGAAGGCGGGUCUCUGGCAGUAACUGGCGCUGGAGGAGCGAAAGCGUGGGGAGCAAACAGG